GCCAGGCGUGGUGGCGCAUGCCUGUAAUCCCAGCUAUUUGGGAGGCUGAGACAGGAGAAUCGCUUGAACCCAGGAGGCAGAGGUUGCAGUGAGCCGAGAUCGCACCACUGCACUCCAGCCUGGGCAACAGAGCAAGACUCUGUCUCAA
ensembl:misc_RNA Metazoa_SRP Metazoan signal recognition particle RNA